AAAUGCGAUACGUAAUGUGAAUUGCAGAAUUCAGUGAAUCAUCGAGUCUUUGAACGCACAUUGCGCCCCCUGGUAUUCCGGGGGGCAUGCCUGUCCGAGCGUCAUUGCUGCCCUCAAGCACGGCUUGUGUGUUGGGCCCCCGUCCCCCCCCCAAGGGGACGGGCCCGAAAGGCAGCGGCGGCACCGUGUCCGGUCCUCGAGCGUAUGGGAAGCAACUUUUUGUCACCCGCUCCUGUAGGUCCGGCCGGCGGCCUGCCCAACCCCAACCUUUUUUUCAACCAGGUUGACCUCGGAUCAGGUAGGGAUACCCGCUGAACUUAAGC
rnacentral:misc_RNA from 1 species